GACAGCAGUAGCCGCGGGAAUACGAAGGGGGCUAGCGUUGUUCGGAUUUACUGGGCGUAGAGGGCGCGUAGGCGGACUGAUAAGUCAGGGGUGAAAUCCCAAGGCUCAACCUUGGAACUGCCUUUGAUACUGUUUGUCUUGAGUUCGAGAGAGGUAAGUGGAACUGCGAGUGUAGAGGUGAAAUUCGUAGAUAUUCGCAAGAACACCAGUGGCGAAGGCAGCUUACUGGCUCGAAACUGACGCUGAGGCGCGAAAGCGUGGGGAGCAAACAGGAUUAGAUACCCGGGUAGUCCCUGUCUCUUAUAC
rnacentral:rRNA from 1 species